UGUCCAGGGAAUAGAAUCGAACCUACAGUAUUCCGCUUACCGAGCAGAUGCCAUGUCCACUAGACUAACCGGGAC